GUGUCAGCAGCCGCGGUAAGACGAACCGUCCAAACGUUAUUCGGAAUCACUGGGCUUAAAGGGUGCGUAGGCGGCACGGCAAGUUGGGUGUGAAAUCCCUCGGCUCAACCGAGGAAUUGCGCCCAAAACUGCCGCGCUCGAGGGAGACAGAGGUGAGCGGAACUUAGGGUGGAGCGGUGAAAUGCGUUGAUAUCCUAAGGAACACCGGUGGCGAAAGCGGCUCACUGGGUCUCUUCUGACGCUGAGGCACGAAAGCUAGGGGAGCGAACGGGAUUAGAUACCCCGGUAGUCCUAGCUGUAAACGAUGAGCACUGGGUCGGAGAGUCUUCCAUAACUUUCCGGCCGAAGCGAAAGUGUUAAGUGCUCCGCCUGGGGAGUAUGGUCGCAAGGCUGAAACUUAAAGGAAUUGGCGGGG
rnacentral:rRNA from 1 species